GCAAUUAUAAGAACUAAUUGUAUGUGUCUGUGGAGAUUUGCGCUAGCCACAAGUGUGGUCCCGGCAGUAGAACACAUUUUUGAAUUCCAAGGGAAUGUUGAAAUCAGGCUGACCACUCCAAGCCUAAUGCUCACUUUUCAAAAUGCAUCAGAUUCUAAUUUAUUUUAUCUUACAGAGCCUGAACCAUGGGGGACGAAACAACACGGUUAACAAUAGUUAAUACGACUCCCUAUACCUGGCACUACUCUACUAGGUGGAGAGGCGGUGUUCAUACACUGCAUGGCAAUAGCACAGAAGGCUAUUGGCAUCCAAUACUACCUGCACCUAAAGGGCUCUCCCUUAGAUAUGGAGAUCACUCAGAAUGGGACCUCCACUGUUGGGGUUUUGGUGCUCCAUACAUCUUAAGAGAGAGUAAUGACCGCACACAAUUUGAACUGGUCAACGGGUAUCUUGGUGAAGUAAUUGACCGUUGUCCCAACUUUGCCAAAAUAGAAGAGGAGAGACAGCAACAACGACGAGAGCUGGAGAGACGCCAACAGGAGGAGCAACGCAGGAGGGAAGAGGAGGAAAGCAGGCGCCUGGAGGGGCUCGAGCGAGAGAGGAGGAUUCAAGAGCAGAUUGACAAGGACAAUGAGGCCUCCCAAGCACACGAGUGGUUUCUACGGGGGCAAAUCCUCAAAGCACGGGAGCAGCACCACCAGCACGCCCAGGUUCUGCGCCAGCUUGUGGAAGGUCAUGCAGCUCAAAUAGAGAGAGAUGAGCUUGGUGAUGUGAAUAAGAAUUUUGAAGAACUUUUGUUCAAGUAUCAAAUCGUGGAGAAUGACAAUCUCAAAAAGAAGAGCAACUUGGAAGACAGGAUGAAGACUCUCCAAAAUGAGCUCAUAUUAAAAUACUUAAGACAGCACCAGAUCUCCAUUUGGUCACAAUUAGCUUUGGACCAGGCAGUUGGAUAUGUGUACCUGUCUCUGACUGAGAAGCUCAAUGUUCUGGAGGCUGUGGUGAAGGUAACUGUAGAGGGUGACCCUGAUUUGGAGGAUGUCCUCUCAACUGGACAAGACAAGAAGAUUGAAUUCCUCCUCAGUUUGCAAGAACAGCUACAUGUUGCAAAUCCAACUUUGGCCCGACAGGUUUUAGUAAAUGCUCUUGAUAUGAUUUCAAGUCUCCCCCUAUCGGCUAAGGAGAUCCUCGGUCAAAUACUCUUCAACAACAUCUGGACACCAAAAGAAAUCAAGCUUUUCAUUGGAAGGGCCCUAAGUAUGGAUCAGGAAAUAGUUACACAAAUCCUCCACAAAGUGUGCACCUAUAGGCUUAGCUGCAUCCUCGCUCUCUCUGCACUGAAUAAAAAAGAUCCGGUGGACUAUUUACAAGGCUGUGCAUCAUAUGAGUUGGACAAAGACGUUGACAUAAUUUUGAGUGAGAUGCAGGACAAAAACUAUCCAGAGCAUAUACUUGGACUACUGGAAGAUGUACUGGAAUAUAUCGAAGAAGAGUUGCCCAAACAUAACAGUGUGGCCAUCAAUGAAAACAUGGUUGAAGAAGGGAAAAGAAUGAUAAUUUCACUUGAUUUUGCCAAGCCUAACAUUGAUGAUCUCAAGAAAGUCCUGAUUAUACUGUCAGUAGCUGUAAAGAAAUGCACCACAUUCAACACUCAAAGCGGUGAAGAAGUACAAGGCUACUUCCCGAGACUCAAUCAGCUGGCAUCGUUACUUUUACUCCUGCUGCCACAGGUCGAGGGUAGAGGCUGUCUCUUGGAAAUCGGCACUGGAGAGGGCAAGACUUGUAUUUUAGCCAUGUUUUCUACAAUCCAGGCCACCCGAGGUGCAAAGGUGGAUGUUGUGACAAGCUCUCCUUUGCUUGCGAUUCGUGAUCAAGAUGAGUGGAGAAAAUUAUAUUCCAUGUUUGGUGUGACAUCAUCUAUUGUGCCACCACCACAUGUAAAUGAACGUUCUUUUGAAAACCAUGACAAGUUGGUUGAGGAUGCAUACAGCAAGCAAGUAGUCUAUGGUACUGUUGGUACCUUUGCAGCAGAUACACUGAGGCAAGAAUUUGAGAAGGAAACUACUCGUGGGUUGAGGAAGUUUGAGUGUGUGUUAGUGGACGAAGUGGACUACAUGACAUUGGACAGUGGAGUCCAAGUGACGUUUCUGUCACACCAAUCCAGUGGCUUGAGGCACGUGGAGCAGGUCCUGGCAAGCAUCUGGGCCAUGAUGUCUGCCUGUCGGCCAAUAGAAAUGUUUGAAACAGGGGAGAUCUGGUGGGGAACCAGGAUCCAGUACUUUCACAAGGCUGCAAUGCAAGCUGUGAUUGGCCCAGAAUCAGAAGAUUUUUCAGAAAACAGCAUACUGUUGCUAGGUGCCGAGCUGGGGUUUUAUUCCCAGGAGGACUUGGAUAAAUUGGACAUGGAUAACCCUAGCUUUGAGGAUGCAGAUUCUAAAGCCAUUGAGAAAAUCAUGAACAAAAUGAUACCUGAAAAUCUGUACAAGCUGUUCAGUGAACUUGAGACAACAAUAGCUAACAAUGUGACCGUGGAUUGUUACUCACUCAGGAACAACAAAGCCAAACUCUACGAGAAAGAAAGCUCUCAUAGGGACCCUAGUGUGAGCAUGCUUCUACUGGAGAAUGGGCGCACCUGCGAAAUCAUGUCUGAGAAAACAAUCAUUGAAGGAACUGUUGACAAAUUAAAGUCUAGAAUCAAAUAUUCUGCUGAGUGUUCCCUAAAAUCAUUGGAAGAAUCUAAGGGAUUUAUUGUGAUUCCAUCGUUCUUGAAAGAAUACGUUGAGAAUCAGUUGCCAGUCUUUGCUGAGAAUGCCUUAAAAGCCAUCCGAAUGACGCAAGGAAGAGAGUACAUGAUUGACAAGGCACCUGAAGCUCACAGAGGUGGUUUCAAUGAUGCUGAUAGUCAUCAUUAUGAGGCCAUAAUUCCCCUGGACUUUGAGGCCAGUGGAGUGUUGGAGAAAAACAAGCGUUGGGGUGAUGGCCUGCAACAGUUCUUGGAGAUGAAGCACCAGCUGGCCAUUUCACAGUUGUCUAAUGUAACAAAUUUCAUGUCAAAUGUCCAUUAUUUCAAAAGGUACCUCGGUGGGAGGGGCAUCUUUGGUGUCUCUGGAACGUUAGGGGGCGUAGCUGAGAAAGCUUUUCUUGCACAGCAUUACAAAACGGCAAGUUACAUCAUUCCAUCUCACCGCCAUAAAAAGGUUGUUGAGUUGCCGGCAGUUCAGGUGACUGGAGGCAAUACUCGGUGGAUC
ensembl:lncRNA